rnacentral:rRNA from 1 species
AUUGAACGCUGGCGGCAGGCCUAACACAUGCAAGUCGAGCGAGCGGCUGACGGGUGAGUAAUGUAUGGGGACUGCCCGAUAGAGGGGGAUAACUACUGGAAACGGUAGCUAAUACCGCAUACUAUCGGAUAACCCAUAUGGGAUUAGCUCUUAGGUGAGGUAAUGGCUCACCUAGGCGACGAUCCCUAGCUGGUCUGAGAGGAUGAUCAGCCCCAUUGGGACUGAGACACGGCCCAGACUCCUCCGGAGGCAGCAGUGGGGAAUAUUGCACAAUGGGCGCAAGCCUGAUGCAGCCAUGCCGGGUGUAGGAAGAAGGCCCUAGGGUUGUAAAGUACUUUCAGUCGGGAGGCGUUACCGACAGAAGAAGCAACGGCUAACUCCGUGCCAGCAGCCGCGGUAAUAC